AAUCAACGCUGGCGGCGUGCCUAACACAUGCAAGUCGAACGAGAAAGUGGAGCAAUCCAUGAGUAAAGUGGCGACCGGGUGAGUAACACGUGACUAACCUACCUUCGAGUGGGGGAUAACCUCGGGAAACCGGGGCUAAUACCGCAUAACAUCUUUGAAGUGGAAAUUUCGGAGAUCAAAGGAGCAAUUCGCUGGAAGAGGGGGUCGCGGCUGAUUAGCUAGUUGGCGGGGUAACGGCCCACCAAGGCUAGAUCGGUAGCCGGCCUGAGAGGGCGCACGGCCACACUGGAACUGAAACACGGUCCAGACUCCUACGGGAGGCAGCAGUGGGGAAUUUUGCGCAAUGGGGGAAACCCUGACGCAGCAACGCCGCGUGGAGGAUGAAGUCCCUUGGGACGUAAACUCCUUUCGA
rnacentral:rRNA from 1 species